rnacentral:rRNA from 1 species
AGUGAACGCUGGCGGUAGGCCUAACACAUGCCAGUCGAGCGGCAGCACAGUAAGAGCUUGCUCUUACGGGUGGCGAGUGGCGGACGGGUGAGGAAUACAUCGGAAUCUACUUUUUCGUGGGGGAUAACGUAGGGAAACUUACGCUAAUACCGCAUACGACCUACGGGUGAAAGCAGGGGAUCUUCGGACCUUGCGCGAUUGAAUGAGCCGAUGUCGGAUUAGCUAGUUGGCGGGGUAAAGGCCCACCAAGGCGACGAUCCGUAGCUGGUCUGAGAGGAUGAUCAGCCACACUGGAACUGGGACACGGUCCAGACGCCUACGGGAGGCAGCAGUGGGGAAUAUUGGACAGUGGGCGCAAGCCUGAUCCAGCCAUACCGCGUGGGUGAAGAAGGCCUUCGGGUUGUAAAGCCCUUUUGUUGGGAAAGAAAAGCAGCAGGUUAAUACCCCGCUGUUCUGACGGUACCCAAAGAAUAAGCACCGGCUAACUUCGUG